UACGAAGGGGGCUAGCGUUACUCGGAAUUACUGGGCGUAAAGCGUGCGUAGGUGGUUUGUUAAGUCUGCUGUGAAAGCCCCGGGCUCAACCUGGGAAUGGCAGUGGAUACUGGCAAGCUAGAGUGCGGUAGAGGGGUGUGGAAUUCCCGGUGUAGCGGUGAAAUGCGUAGAGAUCGGGAGGAACACCAGUGGCGAAGGCGGCUAUCUGGACGGUUACUGACGCUAAGACGCGAAAGCGUGGGGAGCAAACAGG
rnacentral:rRNA from 1 species